rnacentral:rRNA from 1 species
CCCUUAGAUGUUCUGGGCUGCACGCGCGCUACACUGAUGCGCUCAACGAGUUUAUGACCUUGCCCGGAAGGGUUGGGUAAUCUUCUUAAAACGCAUCGUGAUGGGGAUAGAUUAUUGCAAUUAUUAAUCUUCAACGAGGAAUUCCUAGUAAGCGCGAGUCAUCAGCUCGUGCUGAUUACGUCCCUGCCCUUUGUACACACCGCCCGUCGCUCCUACCGAUGAGUCGUCCGGUGAAGUUCGUAGACCUCGUGAUCGCGGAUCACUGGGGGAAGCAAAAUGAACCUCGCGGUUUAGAGGAAGGAGAAGUCGUAACA